rnacentral:lncRNA from 1 species
CAACUAACAAAUAACAUGCCUCGCGAUAUGCAAUAUGAAUAUAUGCAACUAUGCAACUGUAUAAACAACUAGUAGAUAUGUUGAUUCUACGUUUACUUUCUAACUUUAGCUCUUACCUUUAUCACUAGCUUAUAAGGUUUCUAUUAACCUAAUCAAGCUAACCACCUGACUCGGCCUCGAGUCAAUCAUCCGCGGAUAGUCCGCGCACUGGCUGCACAUCAGCCUGGCUGCCGUCACAGCCUACCGCAAAUCUGACUUAACCAUCUGGUGGCGAACUCAUCGCAUCGAACCCAACAACAACUCAAGUCAUGACUUAGCCAUCUGGCGGCGAACUAAUCGCACCUCACCCAACAAUGGUUCAAGACGUGACUUAGUCAUCUGGCAGCGACCACAUCGCUCUUACCCAGCAAGGUUCAAGUCAAUCUAGGCGGCAUCAUCUGAUAAGCUAAUGGGCGAGGAGAACCACACAUACCCAAUUCCAGCUUAUUCUCAUGGCAUCCCGGGCGAGGAGAACCACACAUACCCGUUGAAUCACUGCCAGGCGAGGAGAACCACACAUACCUGCAGUUAGGAUUCGCUUGCCAUCUCUUUUACCACAAUUUCCACCGCUCCAUGUGCGGCCACAUCACUAGGGAUUCCGGAAUCCACUUCAUAUAGCUCAAGGGUUGGUUUCAAACCCUAUAGUAUUGACCUAUCUAGGUCCAAUGUCCUUUUCACCCUAGGUCCAAUUGACUCUAGGUUCAACGUCUCUAUCACAUAACCUAGGUUUACUUAACUCUAGGUUCAAUCCAUAACCUAUGUCCUUUAACACUAGGUUAGAUGCCACUCAUGAUUCAUCCUAGGUUCAACAACACUAGGUUCAUUGUCAUUCAUGUCCAACCUAUGUUUUAUACACUAGGUUAGAUGCCACUCGAUCUAGUUCACAUGACUCUAGAUUCAUUCACAACCUAUGUUCUUUAACACUAGGUUAGGUGCCACUCGAUCUACUUGACAUCCUAUUGUCAUCUCGAGUCUACAUGUACACGAAUCUUAUCCAACAUGCUCAUUAUACACAUAUGUAUUAAUAUGCAUUCACUUACUAGCAUGGUUUCUUACCAUAUUAACAUGCACAUUACAUUUAGCAUUUCUAGACUAUGUCAUCAACAUGCAUUUCAUUCUAUGCAUUAUAUUUACAUGCAUCCUUCUAGUUUACAUGCAUAUAUAUAAUCUUUUAUAUGCAUCUACUUUAGCAUUUACAUCAUAUCAUGCAUUACUAGCAUUACAUUAUUAUCAUGCAUUACUAGCAUUAUGUAACUUGCUCACUAUGCAUUUCUACUUAGCAUUCACAUUAACAUGCAUUGUUUAACACUUAUAUGCAUCAACACGAAUUCUUAAUAUUCUUAGACAUAAGGGCGACCUAGUCGUUUCGGUAAGCACAACCCACCUUAACUUACUCUCCGAUUGCUUGUAGUCACUUGCAAUCGGCCGCCCGCGACACCCGCGACCCGGUUUGGCUCGAACUCUCGCGCGACCACCCAAACGAUCUCCGAUUUGCGAUCCGGAAAUUAAAGGUCUUCGGUUAUGUACCACGGUGCUUCAAAUCCGUUUUCAUGAUUUUACGACAUCACCUCGGCCCUCCAGGCGGAAACGAAGCCUAAACGUCCAUUUCUU